GACUGGAUAGCCUAGUGGUAAAGGCAUCACUCCUAGUGUGCUGAGGUCCCAGGUUUGAUUCCUGGUCUGGUCA
rnacentral:tRNA from 1 species